GCAGAACGUGUUCAAUUUUAAUCAUCAUUAAUAGCAGAGGCUGUCAGAGACUCGUUUGGAAUCAAUGACCGAAAGGAAUUGUACAGCGAAGAAAAUAGAGCGAACGUAAACUCCAGGAGGCCUGAACAUGUUGUUCAUCAAACACGUUAUUCCCACGCUACUGCUUGUGAGCGGCUGGAAUGUCACAAGAGGUUUGACAAAAACGUCACCUUGCUUUGCAACAGGUCGUCCAUCACUUCCACUGUCCAGUGGUGAUGGCACAUUACGAUAUUCGUCAGUAACUGGCCCCCAACCAAUGCUAAGAACUGUAUUAGCUCCUCCAGGGCCGUACGAGGUGAUUUUCGAUUAUCCACCACAAUGUUACAUGGUAGCCAAGGAGAUCACAAUCGAGUCAGAAGGCAGCUGUAUUUUCCAGAUACACACGAGGGAACGGAUCGACUCAAAAUCACCGUGGACACAAUGGAAUCCUAACCAAAAGAUCGAAACCAAGCAGUCUGGUGGGAUGGAAGUAGAUCGUUUUAAGUUUGUAGUCUCUGUCAAAGUCCUCAAGCACCAGUUAAAUCUUCGCUUUCACAUAGCAUAUGGAUCUUGUAAAGUGGCACUUAAUGGUAAUGAGCCUUACAUUACUGUGAUAUCAGAAGAUAUCGAUGAAUGCAAGAAUGCAACAACCUGCAGUCCAAGUCCCAGAGGUACCUGUAAUAACACAUUCGGCAGUUACCAAUGCUCUUGUAAUGCCGGAUAUACUCAUGGAUCAACGU